AUUGAACGCUGGCGGCAUGCCUUACACAUGCAAGUCGAACGGCAGCGCGGGGCAACCUGGCGGCGAGUGGCGGACGGGUGAGUAAUAUAUCGGAACAUACCCUAGAGUGGGGGAUAACGUAGCGAAAGUUACGCUAAUACCGCAUACGCACUAAGGUGGAAAGUGGGGGAUUCGCAAGAACCUCAUGCUCAUGGAGUGGCCGAUAUCUGAUUAGCUAGUUGGUGAGGUAAAGGCUCACCAAGGCGACGAUCAGUAGCUGGUUUGAGAGAACGACCAGCCACACUGGAACUGAGACACGGUCCAGACUCCUACGGAGGCAGCAGUGGGAAUUUUGGACAAUGGGGGCAACCCUGAUCCAGCAAUGCCGCGUGAGUGAAGAAGGCCUCGG
rnacentral:rRNA from 1 species